rnacentral:lncRNA from 1 species
GUUACACUAAGAGCUUCUUGGACACUAUACACUGUAAAGUUAAGAAAAUAUUAAAUAAACCAUUACAAACCAAAAAAGAAAGAGAAAACACCAAUGAAAGAGAAAUAGAAAAAAGAUUACAUAACUGUAUCAUAUCAGACUAGCAAGCUUAACAUUCUAAAAGAAAUCACAAGGAAAACAAAAAAGAAAAUAGCCACGAGUAGACUACCAACACUUUACAACAUGCUAUGAAAUGAAAAAGAUCCAAGAGGACAGCACAAAAGACCAGAAGUGUACACCAUACCAAUCAAUUACCCCACCGAAAAUAGGGAAUAUAGGCAUUACAAUCAGAACUCUCAUGCAGAGGUUAAACAAGCACAAAAAAAAUAUAGAGGCAGGAAGAACAUCGACGGCAUUGGCGGAAGAAGCCUGUAAUAAGAACAUCCAAAUACAGUGGGACCGAGCCAGGAUGGUGGAACCGAUCGCCAAGACGUCGCAAGCAGUAGUGCAAGAGAC